rfam:Scleroderma citrinum Foug A unplaced genomic scaffold scaffold_96, whole genome shotgun sequence.
GGCCCAGUAGCUCAGUGGUUAGAGCACCUGGGUAUAUGCCAGGAGGUCCUGGGUUCAAAUCCUGGCUUGGUCA